CCUAUUCUUACCAGCCUGCUGUCUGCACUUCAUUUUCAUAACAGCUCAGUGGAAUGUGCUCAUGCCUUUGUUUGUCCCUCUUCAGAGAAAGGGAAAUUGCUACACAAAGAUUGACAAGAGAGGGUCCAGCCCAUUGUGGGUGGGGCCAUCCCUAGUCCGGUGGUCCUGGAUUCCAUAAGAAAGCAGACAGAACCAGCCAUGACGAGCAAGCCAGUAAGCAGCACCCUUCCAUGGCCUCUCUAUCAGAUCCUGCCUCUGGGUUCCUGCCCUGUCUGAGCACCUAUCCUGACUUCCUUCAAGGCUGAACAGUGAUGUGGACUUACAAAAAUCCCCAGGAAGAAAUAAGCAGCAUCCCUCUCGAUGACCCCUGUGCCUAGAAUAUAGCAGACUCGUAAACACUUAUGAAAGGAAACUCAGUGUGACUUUUAUGAUAAGAUACCAUGAUCAGAAACAAUUUACAGAAAGAAGAGUCUUGGGUUCCAGAGAGAGUCCAUGAUGUCUGAGAGAGGCUUGGCAACAUGGGCCCAGAAAAGGAAGCUGAGAGAUUACAUCUUCAACUGCAAGCAUGGUACAGAGAGCAAACUGGAAGUGCAUUGAGGCUGUGAACUCUCGGAGACCUCCUAAAACGAUUUCCAUCCUCCAGCAAGGCCAUAAAUACCACAUCCCUCAUCAUGUCGUCAAAUGGGAAUCAAGUGCUUCAAUACAAAAGCCUAUGGAGGACAUUCAUAUUUAAACCACUGUAUUCAACAUGCCCAGAGCCUUCUUUAUUAGCUGCUUUCUAGAACUGCCACACUAUUGUUCACACACACACACACACACACACACACACACACACACACACACACCACAAUGUGUCUAUAUAUAUACAUGAAAGAGAAAACACUGUAAGACGGUUCUGGGGAUGGUGACACCUUCCUUUAAUUCCAGCACUUGGGAGGUAGAGGCAGGCAGCUCUCUGAGUUCAAGACUAUCCUGGUCUAUAUCCAGGACACCCAGGACUAUACAAAAAAAAAAAAAAAAAGAGGGAGUAGGGAGAGGUGAGGAGAGAACACAUUUAAAAGCCUUGAUUAAACAAUUUAGUUUCCUAAGUACAGUUUUCUAGUUUUAAUUAAUAUACAAAAAACAGACUAUCAAAAGUGGGUACAUUUAUAUCUGAUUUUCCAUCAGCACCAUAUAAAUGUUUUCAUCAUGUAUAGCAGGACUGCUUAUUUGAUACCCAAGUAGACACAGCUAAUGAGUGUAGAUAGAUAGAUAGAUAGAUAGAUAGAUAGAUAGAUAGGCAGAUAGAUAGAUAGAUAGAUAGAUAGAUAGAUAGAUAGAUAGAUAGAUAGAUAGAUAGGCAGGCAGGCAGGCAGGCAGGCAGGCAGGCAGGCAGGCAGGCAGGCAGAUAGAUAGAUAGAGAUAGGCAGAUAGAUAGGCAGAUAGAUAGAUAGAUAGAUAGAUAGAUAGAUAGAUAGAUAGAUAGAUAGGCAGAUAGAUAGAUAGAUAGAUAGAUAGAUAGAUAGAUAGAUAGAUAGAUAGAUAGAUAGGCAGGCAGGCAGGCAGGCAGGCAGGCAGGCAGGCAGAUAGAUAGAUAGAGAUAGGCAGAUAGAUAGGCAGAUAGAUAGAUAGAUAGAUAGAUAGAUAGAUAGAUAGAUAGAUAGAUAGAAAGAUAAUAGAUAGAUAGAUAGAUAGAUAGAUAGAUAGAUAGAUAGAUAGAUAGAUAGAUGUUUUUAGGACAUGCUGGUUUCUCUGAUGUAAGCUGUUUAUGAA
rnacentral:lncRNA from 1 species